ensembl:snRNA U1 U1 spliceosomal RNA
AUACUUACCUGGUACAGGGGAUACCGUGAUCAGCAAGGCGGUUCCCCCAGGUCGAGGCCCUUCCAUUGCACUCCGGUCGGGCUGAACCCUGCGAUAAUCCCAAAUGCGGAUUACUCGGGUACGCUAUUUUUAAGUGUGGGGGUCUGCGUUCGCGCUAACCCCUG